rnacentral:tRNA from 1 species
AAUCUCGAAGCUUUGGAAUAAGCGUUAAAUUUUUAAUUUGAAGAAGGAGCUUUUUUCCGGGAUUA